CAUCAGAGCAGGGCAGAUCAGAUCAGGACAGUGUGGAAGUCCAGUAACAGAGCUACACUGGCAGGAAUGUUGCAACUAAUACCGAAAAGCUAUAGCAGAAGUACACUUGAUCACAUGCUUUGGGUGUGCUGCAUCUUCUCAAAAGGACCGUUAGCAGCUUUGUGUGUUGCAUUUGGAAGGACUUGCCUAGAAAGGGAUCCUUGCAUAGGCCCUCUGUUUCGGCUCAGGAGGCUGGUUUUUCCCUCCUCUUCUGCUCCCAAUCCAAGAAAUGUAGGUGUCACUGCAAAAAUAAUUGAGAUGAAAUGAAUAUAACACAAAAUAUGCAACCAACAGGUCUUACAUGGCUGCAAUUUUUUAGCAUCUCUGCCUUUUUGAUUUCUCACUCAACUCAUCACUUUGGCUCAUCUGCAGCUUCUGCUGCUUUAAUGUGUUACUCAGUUUGUACUUGAACUGGUUGUCUCAAGUGUCUGUUAUCUCUCCAGUGUGCCCUAGAAAACAAUAUGUGUGCAAAUACACUGACAAAAAACAGACCAGUGGAAUAUAGAAUUGUACUGUUAUUUUGACUUUUUUGUUUAACUGGUGAAAAGUGUUCCACAAGUCAUGAGAAGUAACUGAAAUGAGCUUGAAAGCUCAUUUCGAGCUGUCACUCGUGGAUAAUGGCUGCUUCAGCACUAAUCAUUUGUCCUUCCUGCCCUAGUUUGAAAGUGGCUAUGUAAGCCAGUUUAUUAUCAGAUGCCAAGUUGAAUAAGAACCUUUUGAUUCCACUGAAUGAUUACCAGACUUCAUAGCACUGAGUAAAAAUAGGAUGUUCUUUUCAUUUUCGUGCUGCCUGUGUACAACACUAUAGUAUGGGAAAGUAUAGGUACAGCCAUGAAUUAAUAACAACUAUGAUUCUGGUUCAAAAUAUUUCAGGACUGCUUUUCUUUCUUAGGGUUUCUUGAAAGCUUUCCUUCCACUUCCUUAGCUACGCUAUUUGAGAGGGGAUACUUCCACCUGAAUAGAAGAUUUCUUAAGGCAAUACAUAAUUUUUCUAGUUUUGGUACAUGCAAGUUUUUAAUUGCUUUAUUGAGAUAGACCUAAUUAAAAUAUUUCCUUCGAUAAAUGUCACUAUUUCUAAGACCAGUUAUGACUAUAGAUAUGGGAUGUGAUUUGUUUCUCUUUGUUAUGAGUAGUUUGUUACAAAGUAAUCAAUGUCUGUUAGUACAGCAAAAUUAGAGUUGUAAUAUACCUCUGUAGUAAGGUUGGACCUAUUUUGAAGAGGAUCUGAAUGUUCCAGCCAACCAAAAAUGAUAGAUAUUUAGUGUCCAAGAUAAUAAAAUCAUCAAAAUUAUCUAAAUUUAUAAAUUUUGUCUAAUUCCUUUUUAUUUUGAUAAGGGAAUGGAAAAGCUAAUUUGUAUUUAUCUUUAGGUCCACUCAGAGAUCUGAAAUGAGAAAGAGACUGAAGCUUAUUUUAAGCACAAUGAAAAUUAAGCAAUUAGAGGGUAAGCAGAUGAAUAUUAGAGGAAGAGAGACAAAACUUCAUUGCAGUAAUUUGAUUUUUAUGGUCAGUAUAUAGUGGCAAAAGGUAAUAGCCUUGUUCUGGGUUAAUGGUGACCUGCUGAGAGAACACAAUACACGAUUCCUUUAGACCAUUAUAAAUUGGCAGUGGCUUUUUAACUCAAGAUUAAGGUGUGAGAAGUGCCACCUCCUUAGAAAAGGGAUGCCCAGCCUUCCUGACCACUUCAUGAAAAUAUCUAUGUCGCAGGGACCAGAGGACAUUUCAUUUUUCUAUCUAUAUAUUCAAGACCAGAGGAUGGAGAAUCUUCAAAAAGUAGAUCAUAGAUAUGAGAUAUCAUAGGUGGAGAGAGAACAGCUCUAUACAGGCCUUAUUGUCCUGUUGCAGAGGCUGAAAUUCUGCUACGUAUUCACUGUAAUUCCUAGGUCAACAUGGUGCCUUUGUUAUGGCAUUCUGCUGUGGGCACUGCUCUGGAAACAUGUCAUCCCCACAGGUUGCCCUUACUGCACACAUAAACAUAACUAGCUCCCUCUUUUGAUCAUUCAGUUGCUUCUCUGCACUGUAAAAAGUUAAGAACUGCAGUUUUUAACUUUCUGGUGACUGACGCUUUUCUUAUACUUCUAUGCAGAUUAGCAAAGUACAGUGAGACAAACAUCAAAAGGGAGUUCAGUCUCAGAAAGGUUACAGACAGGAAUGUAGAGGACCUUCACAGUGCAGACAACUACUGACCCAAUGAAGUCACCUGGAAUUGCUUCACUGCUUACGGGAGACUCGGUGUUUCAGCAAGUGAAGUCCAAAAAGCUUGGUGAUGGCCACUGCUUUCUUCCCUGUGGAACCUUCAGAUGUUUAAAAUGCUGUGCCCCCAGCUGUCAUCUUGAGCACCACUAACAGCAGCCUGAGCCAGGGCCUCUAAUCCCAGAGGGAGUGUACUGAGAAUUAUAUUGCUGUGUGCCCCAUGACCCAAGAGUGACAAGGAUGUGAAUCCUGUGCAUAGCUGGCCUCACCUGGGCUGACACAGACUCUGAAACCUCAGACUUCAUUGCAGAGAACAAUCCUAUCUACAAAGGUUCCACUGAGCCAGUUUGAGAGCAUGCAGAAAAGAAACACAAGCUCAAAGCAAUGGCUGGCGGUUUUCUUAGUCCACAAGCAAAGAUGGCAAGGGCAGCAAAUGAGAGGGCCAGUGGCAUGUGGUUGCAGACUCUCUGUCAUGCAAGGUAGAGCAUUCACUGGAAAGCUGUGAAGUGACAGCAUGAGACUGCAGGUGAAAUGGCAACUUCACUCCUUGGACUAAACAUACAUUGGGACACCCAAGUAGGAAAGUAGUUUGGCAUGAGAGGAAGAAAACCUGGCCUUAGAAGAGGAGUUCAGACAGGAAGCAGCAAUAUUCCAUGAAGAUUUCUGAAUCAAACAGGAGAGGAACUGGCUUCUCAAAGAGCGUAUUGCAGAGAUUCCCUAAAACAUUCGGCUGCACAGCUGGAGCAGCUCCUGAAGCACCUUGUGGUCACAUUCUCAGCAGUAGGAGCCCUUCAGACAUGGUGUCUGUAUGGUGUCUGCUCACCAUGCCAGGUGGGGAGCCCCAGCCUUCCAAACAGCAGUCUUUUUUCGUAGGCUCAUGGUUGCCUCUGGGAUCAUGUAUACUGAGCUGAGAUGACUGAGGAAUCAAACUGACUCAUGAAGUCAGGGAUGGUAGCCUGCAGUGAUGAUGGCAGCAAGGAUUGUUCUCCCGUCAGCGGAAGGAAAACCUGCACUGGGCAGAGAGAGGAUAAAGCCCUCCUGUGCAUCCUACUGACGCACCACAAGCAGCUGCAGUUGCUUCCUACUGCCACAGCACAGGUAAGUCUGGUGUGUACACUCCGCCCUAGCUUUUCCAAGGUAUGCGUCAUGGCUGGAACAGAGACUUGCAUAGUGUCACAUCUCAUUGAUGAUACCCUCACCAUGAUCAGAUUCAUUUCUCCCUCCUCCUUUACUGUGCAACGCUUUCCUUAAUUUGUCAGCGCAAGCAGAAAUAACGAGGCUAACAGGAGCUUUGGCUUAUCUCCUCUUCUAACUGUGACUAAGAAGUAUGUGGGUGAUAUCUUGAUCAAGGGCUGUUUUGGUUGCAGUGUACACACACUCAAACUUUGCAGUUCCAGUCCAGAACAGUAGGUCAUCCCUGUGCCCAGUAAAUGCACUGUUACAACGGGUGCAACUCUGUAUCAAUUCAUGUCACAUCUGGCACACUUAACAUUUCAAAAACUGCAUAAGCUGCACCUCAAAAUGUUGUUACUCGGCAUUGCUGUCUGUAAUAACUGAGAAUCAUUACACUCCAUUAAGACAUUGAAUAUGAACAUGUAAAAGAACUGUUACUGUUAUCUGUAUGAUGACCAGACCAUUAAGAGUUCUUCUUAAUAAUAAAUA